GAGGAAGGACAGCUGUGAAAACAGCUGGAAAAUGAGUCGGGAGCACAGUGUGUCUCUUUGAUGUGACGAGUUGAGAGGUUCUGCACCUGCUGGAGAGAAAAGGCUUUGAUAAGGACCGGAAGAUUGCCAGACAACCAAAGUUCUCUGUAUCCCUCCCUGCAUGAAGGUGCUAAAGCAAACGAAGGUGGCCUUCAUGUUAUUGACAUGGCAGUCAGUCUGCAUUCCCUGCCAACCCAAAGAUCCUUGUUACCGUGUGCCUAAGCUUUCCAGAGGCUGUGGUGAUAAAGGUACCAGCUAUCUCAUUCCUACAGAGGACCAGAGGAUAAGAUGUCCUGCAAAUGUCCCCAUCAUGGAGGGAGUUUGCCAAGUCGAGAUAAGAACUCCCUAGUUAACCUCUAUAUGGCAGUAACAUUUCUAGCCUCUCACGGAAGGUGUGUGUGUCCGUGUGUGCAUGUGUGUGUACUGCACAGAGUAGUGGUGGGGCUUGUUAGCUGUAGUCUUGUCCAAGCUGCUGCCUCAUGUCCCAAUUGGAGAGCCGAUUGGUCUGGCUUGUUGUCUCCAGGCAGGAUAAAACACUGGCUCCUACUCCACAUCACACACACUUGUUUUUCACAAGUCCACUCUUUCAUUUUUAGGUGAUGAAUAAGUAGUGUAUGCAAAAUCACCUGUGGGUUGUGUGUAGGAUAAUAUGACCUUAUGUUUAGUGAAAUAGCUAGAUGAAUAUACAACCUGAGGGGAAUAUACAAAGAAAAACAUUACAAGGAUGGGUUGAUCCAUCACGAACACACAGCACAUGGAAAACAUGUCAAAAGGCGUGAAGACUGUGUCAGUCAGUGAAUCAUUUAAUUAGCUGUAAUCAAAUAACAGCAUCCUUUUUAUCAGGGUGAAUGGGGACGGUUCAUUUGAGUGUGUACAUCAUGUUGAGUGCUUGGCCUAUGCCUUUAAUCAGCCUGUAAUUAUCAGACAGAUUCUCAAUGCCACACUAAUUAAGAUAUUCAAACGCUACAUGGGAAAUGUUGUAAUAUGGAGAUUUCCUGCACAACACCAGGGAAAUCUCUGUAAU